GCCUACUCCACACCUAGGCUAUAUGGGAUAGCCUAUUGCUCCUAGGCUACAAACCUGUAAAGUAUGUGACUGUACUGAACAUUGUAGGCAGUUGUAACACCAUGGUCUUUAGAAGCAAUAACACGCAUUGAGCUGUCAUCUGCUAUGAUAACAAUGCCUCCUUCUGGAAUACCUCUGAAAGGCCCACCACAAACACGAAGCAAGUUGGACCCGCACUCCAGCCUGUGGAGAUGAACCUAGGACUGUGAUUCUUCUAUCCAGUAUGUUGGCU